rnacentral:ncRNA from 2 species
UCCUUAUCAAGAGUGGCGGAGGGACAGGCCCUGUGAUGCCCGGCAACCUGCUUUGCAAGGUGCUAAAUCCUGCGGUGAAACCGAGAGAUGGGGU